GUUUUAAUAGUUUAAAUAAAACCUCGGUCUUGUAAACCGAAAUUGAAAUAUAUUUUCUUAAAGCA
rnacentral:tRNA from 1 species